CCUACGGGUGGCAGCAGUGAGGAAUAUUGGUCAAUGGGCGAGAGCCUGAACCAGCCAAGUAGCGUGAAGGAUGACUGCCCUACGGGUUGUAAACUUCUUUUAUAAAGGAAUAAAGUGAUGCACGUGUGCCAUUUUGUAUGUACUAUAUGAAUAAGGAUCGGCUAACUCCGUGCCAGCAGCCGCGGUAAUACGGAGGAUCCGAGCGUUAUCCGGAUUUAUUGGGUUUAAAGGGAGCGUAGAUGGAUUGUUAAGUCAGUUGUGAAAGUUUGCGGCUCAACCGUAAAAUUGCAGUUGAUACUGGCAGUCUUGAGUACAGUAGAGGUAGGCGGAAUUCGUGGUGUAGCGGUGAAAUGCUUAGAUAUCACGAAGAACUCCGAUUGCGAAGGCAGCUUACUAAACUGCAACUGACAUUGAUGCUCGAAAGUGUGGGUAUCAAACAGGAUUAGAGACCCCUGUAGUC
rnacentral:rRNA from 1 species